UGUGAUUCAACAGCCUCUCCUCACUGUUAGAGAAGGUGAAGAGGCUCUGUAGCCACAAUUCUCCAUAAAUUCUGAAUGGUAGGAGCAUCACUACAGCCAUGACGCACUUCUUUGGAGCCAUGGAGACUUCUGCCUUCGCUAGCAGCAAGGACAGGCUGUUUGGUCACAUGGAACCAGAACACGCACACACCCGCUCUUGUAUUUGGCUGAUCUGACCUAAGUGGAAGGGCAGCAGCAGUGGCCAAAACAGCAGCUUCGCUCCCCUUCCUCUUCCACCCAACAUGCAUUCUGUCCUUCCUUAUCUAUCCAGUGUGAGGGCAAUAAGAGGAAGCAUUGCCUCACUCUGAACUGGUUAAUAUGCACUAUGUACAUCUCAGUGCCAAAUCCAUUUCUCAUUAUGACAUCGUCACAUUCACAGCAUGCUCCCUUAUUGGCUGGGCUCAUAUAGAGGAGGAGGCGGCGGCAAAAAAUGCUUCUGAAAUAUGGCAGUACCCCAGUAGGGCAGUGAGUAGUUGGUAGAACAGAUAUGAAAAAAAUUAGCAGUGUGUUUGUGAGAAGGAGAGCAUUUGCCACUAGAACUGGAGGGAAAUGUACAUUUUUAAAAAGAAGUUGUGAUACUGCCAAAGAUUAAGGAUGUGCAGAUUCCCUUUGUUAGCCUUACCAAAUAUUAUGUUUUUCUUGAAAUUCCUCAUAUAUUUUUUGUGAGUAAGAAUCAGUUUGUCACGGAGUUUCACUUUAGGCAGAACUCUAUUCCAGAACUCUAGUCCAAAAUCGUAUACAUUUUGCUCACAGCACUGAACAUUUAUUCAUCAGCCUCAAACUCUCAAGCAACAGGAUGCUUAGGGAAAGUGAGAAGAGGAUGACACCAAUAUUCUCUCUAAGGUGUGUGUGUGUGUGUGUACACAUGUUUUUGAUAUUUGCUUAGUUAAUUUUAGAUCCCACUCAGGUUGAUUCAGGAAGGAGGAAAUUGGAAGGAACAUUGGAUGACUCCCACAGUAUAACUUGACCAGCAACUGCAUUAUUGUUUUCUGCAUGGCACAGAUAAUCAGUUUGGCCAUCCAAAAUGGAAAGGGGAAGAAAAGAAAGGUUUGACACGCAGUGGCAAGCGUGUAAAAAUUACUACGUGCUUCCAAGAGACAAAGGUUGUGAAUAGCAAGUGCUGUCCACUGGGAGAAGCAACCACACUGUGAGUGGAGCACAAAGACGGCCGGCACAGGAAUACUGUCAGCUCCUCAAAGGAGGGACAGAAUUGUGUCGAAUGGCUUCGAUUCUGAGUUCGUAAUGUGUGGAGAUCCCCACUGAUGUCAUUGUUGUGAUCUGGACUGUGCACAAUGUGUGUGCAGUUUAACUCCUUCCCCUUGAAGGCAAAAGUCAUCUCAGGCACUGCAACCCCAUCUGUGCACCGGAGAUCCCACCCUUGAAAGAUAUUGCUGGGUCAAGGUGUGUCCUCAGGAAAUUCAGGACCACCUCACAUAUUUGAUAGAGCCAAGGGUAGGCGGAUGACGGCUGCUGAGAAAGGAAAGGGAUAAACCAGCCCAGGAAUUGUUCCUCCUUCCUUGAGUUGUCCUCCUGUCCCGCUUGGCAAUUGCUGAGGGAAAAGGAAGGAAGCAUGGCCACAAGGAGAGCUGAAAAGGAAACAAACAACCAUCGUCUGUUUUUUCUGUGAAUGUGAUUUCUUCCCCCAGAAGCCAAUGUGUUUUUUCUCCUUCCCACAAUUCUUUGCUGUGCCUCUUCCUUAUCCCCAAGCCCUUGUUUCUGCUUGUGUGAGAGAUUUUUUAGCUUUUAAAAAAUGAUUUGAAAUGAUUGAGUUCAUCCCAAUAGGUCCUGACCCAUGUGAUCUUCCCCUCAGAACCUGCAAUGGGUUGUUUUCUUCUCCAUGGAAAGAAAGUAGAAUGUAAGAGAGAGAGAGAGAGAGAGAGAGUGGGGUGGAGUUUAUUGGCUGGUCUGUCCUCAAACAAGUUCUCAAAAUGGUAUACAUAGCACAGAGAGAGAGAGAGAGAGAUUUUUUAACUUUAAAAAAAAUUUCAAAGCAGCACAACAAGGUGCCAAAUGUAAAAGAAAACUAUUCUCAUACAAACUUGUAAUAAA